GCAUUCUCUACCACUACUUGGACUGCAAAAGGGAGCUCAUCACCUCCAAACAAAGGGACCAGCAGUUGCCACUUCUCCAAGAGCUCUCCCAAGCCCUCUAUUUCUCUUCUACAAGAGUUCUUAAGCCUCUCUCCCUAUAUCUCUCUCAUGUACAAUGUAAUCUCCAUAUCCAAAUACAAAUACAAAGCUAUAAACUGUAGUAGAUGUAGCCCCAUUAUGAAUGAACCACCCAAACACUUGUGUUAUGUGUGUGAUUAUGUCUUAAUCGAUUUGGUAUAAAUUCAAGCAUUAACACCCGUAAUUAUCCCAAUCCAAUGAAAUCAUGGGACUUGUCAACUGUUGACGUGAGUCUCCUAAUUAAUCAAGGAGAUUUAUUUCCUUGAUUAAUUAAAAGAUUUACUUUCCUAUUUUUAUAUAGUUGCUAAAUCAUUGUAUAACUAGAAGAUACUUUCCUAAUUCUUUACUAUAUCUAAUUCCUUGUAAAGCACCAUGUAAACUCUUAUAUAUAGCUCCUUAUGGAGAAGAAUAAGAUUAACCUAAUACAUUCAAACCAUAUUCAUAUUUUAGCAUGAUAUUAGAGCAAUCGAUCCUAGGUUGUCUUUAAACCCUUAUCUCAAAUUUCUCAUAUUCAAAUCCAAAACCCUAAAUCAAAUUCCUCAUAAUUUUUCCCCAAAUCCAAAUCCCUCAAAUCUAAAGUCCUAAAUCCUCUUAUCCAAAUCCCUAAACACAUACCCUCACAUCUUAUACACAUACCUCUUAAAUCCAAUUCCUACAUCAAAUUCCUCACAUUCUCAUAUCACAUCUUACUUUCCUGCAAUGUCAAGAACCUCUACAAUUCUCCACCUUAUUGCAGACUCACAGAAGAAUGCUGUCAAUUCUGCUGACCCGGCUACCCGAACUCUUGCUUCUAUCACCACCACCAAAGGUUCUACUUUUCAUAUGUUUUCCAAAAAUUCCGCAUGGAUUAUCGACUCGGGUGCUACGGAUCACAUGACAUUUGAUCCUAGCUAACUUAUUAAUCACAAAUCAUCCACUCCGUUGGUGGUGUCUAAUGCUAAAGGUACCCCAUUCCCUGUGGUUAGGGAGGGCUCUCUAUCUCUCUCUACUUCCCUACAUUUGGAUUCUGUAUUACUUGUUCCAUCUUUGGACCAUAACUUGUUAUUUGUUGAACAACUUACUACUACUUAGGGGUGUACUGUAACAUUUUCACCGAAUCAUUGUGUUUUUUAGGACAUCCUCAUAGGAAUGACGAUUGGUUAUGGUACUCGACGGGGCAAACUCUAUUACUUGGAUUGGGCACCGGAUAGCGAGGUCAAGGGUGGUCAAGCUUUCACAACCAGUGGGGAGAGAGACAAAAUUUGGUUAUGGCAUAAACGUCUUGGGCAUGCCUCGUUCGGUUAUCUUAAGAAGUUGUUUCCAUCAUUAUUUUUCAGUCUUGAUGUUUCUAGCUUCCAGUGCGAUAUGUGUG
rnacentral:lncRNA from 1 species